rnacentral:miRNA from 1 species
CAGCCUCUGCUGAUCGUCUUUU